GGCUGGUUUGAAGUUUAAACGGCGCGUUUCAUCAAACUAGUGCAACUGUGACAUCGCGGCUCGUUUUUUGAAGUGCAGACUGCGUUUGAUGGCGGGCAUGUCUCCCACUAAAAUGGUAAGCUGUCGUGUUAUUUUUUUGUUUGUUUUGGAAGCGAAUUGCGUUGAAUAGAUGUGUCUGCGGGUUCAUUGACAUAUUGUCUGUUUUUAGACACGAACGGGAGCUUUGGUUUGUGCAUGUGCAGCGGUGGUUUGAAGUGGAUAAAUUAUCGUUUCAUUUACGCUUCUCCAAAGGAAAUGGUAAGCAUUCUCAUUAAAGCAACGAGCAUUAUCUAUCCCAAAUAGCAUCCCGAACGAGGUGAAAAAACAGGCAGUAACUGGGCCAGUUUAGGUUGACAGCGUCGUUAUUAUACAAAAUGUGCAGGUCUUUCUGAAGCAGGGUACUGGUUUGUAACAAACUCGAAAAAUGCCUUUCCUGCAAGUGUUGUUUUAUAGAGUACUAGUGGCUUUUUUUUGUUUAACAGAGUUGGUCAGCUGCCAGAUAUUCCAGUUAAGUGAAACGUGCGUGAUACGAUUCAGCCGAACUCUUAGCGCGUCCAUCCGAAUACACCUCGUCAGAUUGGAUCAUACUUCCCCCCUCGAGUUCAGAUUGAUGCAUUUCACCCGCUUUGCACGAACACUAUUGUUUUGUAUUUGAUACAACGCGUCGA